CGGAACUCGUCUGCAAGCUCCGCCAUGGCCCUGAGCUCCGCUGUGGUCAGGAAUAAAAGGGGGGCGCGUCUCAACAUGUUCAUCAUCCACACACUAGCCUGCUGGUGGGCCCCGGCCAUCAGCCUGUACCGGAGCCACCUCAGCUUCACUGCCUCGUCAGCGCCAAGUCAGCUCCUCCCUGGCCCGCCAGUCAGCCUCUGUGGCUAGCCCUCUCUGCAUUUGCUUCCUCCCGGAUAGGAUCACGAAGUGUUGAUGUGAGAUACGAC